AUGCUGCCGUCCGGGCGGCCGAGGAGCUUGAUGGGUGUGCCUGCAGAGCGCGGUGGAACCACGCAGUUCUCGGGUAACUCGUCCUGGCCAAGGAUCCGGCCGGGCCACCAGGAUCCGUUGCGGCGGCGCACCCAGACUAGCGCCCCCACCUCCGCGUCCGCCCCCGUCACGCCGGCGGGGAACUCCUCCUCUCCACCGACGCUUCCCAUCCCGGAACCGCCGCCGCCCUCACCGGGUUACGACCAUGAGCUGCCCCUCCGCUCAGACCAAAAUUGA
rnacentral:rRNA from 1 species